rnacentral:pre_miRNA from 1 species
UAUGUACUCCCUCUGUCCGAAAAUACUUGUCAUCAAAAUGAAUAAAAAAGGAUGUAUCUAGAACUAAAAUACAUCUAGAUACAUCUCCUUUUAUCCAUUUUGAUGACAAGUAUUUCCGGACGGAGGGAGUACUAA